CUAAAAUUAUUUUCUAAAAGGGAAGGGGGUCUGUAGCGUCAUGAAUGGCCUCUAAUUUGUGAAAAAGGUCACAUUUUCCCAGCUAGGUCAAGUUGGGUCGAACUGUAACUUUGCCCCACAAAUUAACACGCCAGGAGCCGUGAUGUCUGCUGCAACAAAUCUUUAUCUGGCUGCUGUUCCGUCCCAAGAUGAAGGACACUUCAAGAUUUCACAACAAUAAUUUUAAUAAACUCAUGACUUUAUUGCUAUUUAUUAUAAUCAUCAUAAUAAUCAUCUGGUUCAGUAUAAAUGUAUUUUAAUUACUGAAAUGACUUAUUAUGCUUUGGGUUACUAUAAUAAUCAAGUAAUGUAUGUUCAGUAAACCAGAAGGUCAUCUUGCAUGAGUGGGCGUGUUCUGAGGGUUUUGUUAAAACCAAAUCCUGCAGCUGUAAGUUCAGUUCUUGAACCAUACCAGGAGACGAGGGACGGCCGCCCAAGUCUCUACUAAGCAUUCUGUCACGCCGAUAGACUUCCUUCGAAUAAACGCACCUGUAACCAGCAAAACUCCUUCAGUUAUUGAUUUUGAGAAGCAAAUAGUUUCACCAGUCGAGUGACCCACAGAGACAUCUCAGGAUCGAUUUGGUCGCACUAAGGUCCUUCUACCAACCUCGUGCCUGGAGGACAUCAUCUCCACCUGACAUCUCGGAUCCAGAUGAGGGUCUCCUGAUCUGGGUGAGGUAGACACUUUUGACAGAUGGCGUCUGUAUGCUGUUUAUCUACGUAACAUCAGUUAGCUGCAAAACCAAUUUUUCACCCAGAACGCUUCUCUCGCUGAAAGAAACCUUCUGAGAUUCAUUCACGCAUCCGAAAACUCUCAUUUCAUUUUAGCUUCCAUUCAGUCACAUGUUUGUUUUUUAAAACAAGUUUUAAUAUCAAAUUGUCUGUAAAAAUUGUCAUUUCAAAUUGUCAUUUUUUAAAGUGUUAGUAAUAAAUUCUUAACUUUAAAAACCUGACUCUUCUUUGAAAUGAAACACAGAAUGGUUUAUAUAUUUUUGGUUAUUGAAUAAGCAAAGAUUCCUAACUUCUGAUUAAAUAAAUAAACUUUUGCUAUUAAAUUUAAUUAUCUUAAAUCAAAAAUUAAUCUUUGGAUUGAAAAUAGACCAAGCUUGUUGGCAUAUGAACUUCUAUUGAAUAUAUAAUAUCCUAGAUAUUUAUAUAUGAUAGAACGCUGACGUCGUUAGGUCCGUUUUAGGGGGGCUUCAGCCCCCCUAAAAUAAUCACAAGCCCCCCUAUCAUUUUGGUUUAUUUUAUUUUUUUCAGUUAACUUUUUUUUAUUUGUUCACAUCUACAUGCUGAACACAAUCACGACACGUGUAGUUGGUACAUGAGUUUUUUAGUCUGAAACAGAAAUAAUAAUUAAUGAAUAUAGAACUACACCGUCGCACACAGGAAGUAUCAAGAAAGAACUUCCUCCACUUCCUUAAGCCCGCAGCUUUGUUGACAAGUCAGGGGGCGGGUCGAUACAGAAAAACCUAUAUAUCGAUGAGCAAACCCUGCUCAGCGCUCAUAUGGAUAUACGAAGAUUUUUUAAGAGAGUGAGUGAGGAACAGGAGAGAGACCAGGUGGUUGAUGCUGAGGAGAUCUGCAUGGUCAAGGUCAGUGAUCUACAGCGAAAACAGGGGCGAGUGCACCGUUAUGAGCAUUUACCUGAGCACAAAGUUCCCAAGCAAAAUUGAACAGUUUUCUAUUUAGGAGUGAACAGGUAAGAGACA